ACGGAGUAUUGAUUGAGAACCCAUAUUUCCCAUAUGACGUGAACCAAGGUCACGAAGUAAUUAUCCAUUUAGAGGGUGAAUAUCUUAUUCUGAUGGCUGAUGGCAUUCACGUACACUGGGAUGGUGCAUGGCACGUAGAGGUUGACAUUGACCCGGAACCAAUACAUAAAGGUAUAGAGACCCUGUGCGGUAUGUGUGGAAAUGCUAAUGGUAUCAAUGCUUACUACGACGACUUGGUGACUUAUGCUGGACUGACGAUUAAAGAUGACAGUCCCAUUGAAAUUGCACGAUUUGCUGACUCUUGGGUUGUGCCAAAAAGUUGUGUAUCUAUCUAGACGAAUGAGAUCGCUCCAAGGGAUUCGUUGGACUUCCGGUUCCAGUUAAACUUUUACUCAAAUUUACCUGUAAAACUUUAAAUGCAUAAGAAAUUAAUUAAAAAGUGGUAUCCUCAUUCUUCAUGUAAUCAAAA